CUAUUAGGACAUGAAUUUGUGUUAACUGAAGAACUAGAUAAAGCAUUUCCAGAAAGCACUUGAUAUCAACCCUCAGAGUUCAGUUUUACUUUGCCACAUUGGAGUAGUUCAGCAUGCACUCAAGAAGUCUGAGAAGGCUUUGGAUACCCUAAACAAAGCCAUUGUUAUAGAUCCCAAGAACCCUCUAUGCAAAUUUCACAGAGCCUCAGUUUUAUUUGCAAAUGAAAAAUACAAGUCUGCUUUACAAGAACUUGAAGAACUGAAACAGAUUGUCCCCAAAGAAUCCCUCGUUUACUUCUUAAUAGGAAAGGUUUACAAGAAGUUGGGUCAAACUCAUCUCGCCUUGAUGAAUUUCUCUUGGGCUAUGGAUUUAGAUCCUAAAGGAGCCAAUAAUCAGAUUAAAGAGGCAGUGCAAUCCUUAGCUGCUAACAAGACUGGCUCUUUUACCAGUGUGAAUGACAAUUUGGGGGAGGGGUGAGGAACUUUUCUUUUUUUCUUUAAUCUCCUCAGUUGGAAAUCUAUCAUGGAAGGAAGAGUUAUGUUUUAUCUUGAAGGA
rnacentral:lncRNA from 1 species